rnacentral:lncRNA from 1 species
CUCCAACCCGUGAUGCAAAAACUCCGGAGCGCAUCGCCCGAGGGGGAGCGACCGCCCUCGAGCACGGAACUCAUAGCAAGUAUGAUCGAAUCCUUAACUCUAAGGAUUAUAAGUUCAAUCUUGUCAUUACACUAACUCUAGUGUUCUUUUCAUCACUUUACGUUGCUAACUCUAGCAAUCAUUCUUCUUUACAUUUCUUUACCUUUGGCUAUCUCUAGCAUUCAUGUUCUUACUCUUUGCACAUUCUUUUUGUCCCACUUUGCUUUAGCUUUAGUCAUUGUCAUCAUUCUUUACGUCACUUUGAUCCUUUGCCUCACACUAACUCUAGUGUCACUUUACUUUACAUUACCAAUGCCACUCGAUCUAUGUCAUAUAGUGUCACUCUGUUCUUUUGCCUCACUUUGGUACUCACAUUUUCUCUCAUGCAUACAUAUAGGAUUUUAACAUUCAUAAGGUUCUCAACCAUCACAUUAAGCAAGUUGUACUCACAAUCAUGCAACAUCACAUUUUAUCAUUACUUUAUCCUAAAAUGCAUGCAACAAUUAUAUAUACAUAUGCUCAAUUGAAUGACACAUUAGGCAUAGAAGGAAGUUCAACGAGUUUGGAUAGCACCACCCACCUCGUAGGUUCUCAAACGUGCUCCGACGAUUUUCUUGGAAUUUUUAGACUCCCCGUUCUUCACCUGCGGCAAAACGAAGCCAACUUAGGCUAUUUUGCCCAUAUCUUUACAUUCUCUUUUCGUAACGCUAAUCCGAGCGCACCAACGCGUCGGAAAUACCCCCAAUUAGAUUUCUAGAGGGUCAAUUGCACUUUAGAACCCUCGCAAGCAAAAGCCCCAAUUUGGGUGCCCUAGCUCAUAACAUGCAUCAAACCUAGGGUUUGAUCUCAUUAGGAAGCAAAAGUAGCUUCAUUAUACUCUAAAUAGUCCAUUAAAUCCAUUCUUAGCUCACUCCAAACCCUAGUUUGGAUUUCACCAUGAGAGGGGUCAAGCUCACCUUCAAGCUUUACCCAUUACACUCAUGCCAUGGUCUUGAUCUCAAAUGGAGCAAAAGAAAAGCUUCAAAGACUCCAAAAGUUUUAUAAAAACCAUUUCUAGGUUUACCCAAACCCUAGUUUUGGAGCUAACAUGAGAAGGGGCAAGGCUUACCUCUAAGCUUGCUCCUUUCUUGCACUAGAGAGGAAGAAGAUGAAGUUACUUCACUCCAAUGGCUUCUUCUCCACCUUCCUUGUCUUACUCUCCCACCCUUUCUCCUUCUUCUUCUCUUUCUUUCUUUUCCUUUCUUAUGUUCUAGAGAGAGAGAGAGAGAGAGAUAAGUUUGGGUGUGAGGGAAUGUGAGGGAGAGGCUCUCUCAACCCUAAACAUAGCCCAUAUAUUGCAUUUUUGCAAAUAAGCCCCUCAGCUUUUAUCUCAUUACACUGCCUGGACUAGGCAGUUUUCGCGCUCGAGGACCGGUCUCCCCGACUUGGGACCGGUCCUAAAGAGCUCUCCCUGCGAGCAGCAGGGCGCACGCGCAGAGCAACCGGUCUCACCUAGGGAGACCGGUCUCUCGGGGACCGGUCUUCCCCCGCAGGGACCGGUUCCCAAGAGCUACUCUUCUGGGACUUAGCCUAUUUUUCGGCUAUCUCAUUUCUCAUACGUUCGAGGACCGGUCUCUUCUACCAGGGACCGGUCCCCUAGAGCUCAAAAUCUGCAGUUUGCAGAAUUUUGAUUUUUUAGCUCUCGAAAACCUCCCAUAACACACUUUUGAUCAUUUUAACACCUUCGGACUUUUCGAAGUGUACCAUCCUCGCACUUUGGUCAAUUUGACUAAAGUUCGAUAUUUAUUUUCGGCAUAUUACACUUAUUCUCCAACAACCACCUGCAUGUUCGCUCCAGUGUUCCCACACUGAUGACUCAAGAUUCGUCAUCCCAAAAGAAAAGCGGCACACACAUCAAUCUUACCGGAUCAAUCACCAUCCCUAUGAUGGUCCUCCAACUGAGAGCAUUAGGAAUUAAUCACCAAUAAUAUGUAUCUCAAAUUCUCAAUUCUUGAGAAUUCAUAUUAUUAUCUUAUUAAUUCAAUAGACAAUUCAUGGACACAUAAAAAUAUGAAUGAAAUAAAGGGGUCCAAAUAUAUAAAGAUUAAGUACAAAAAUAUGUCCCAUAGAAAAUAAAAUGUGUCAGCCUGAUAAGCUUUUAGGGCAUACAACUAAUAAUUUCUCACUUCCACUAAACCUAAUCAGCCAUGUAUCUAAUGCCCAUCUUCUCAAGAUGAGUCUCAAGUUUCUGCUAAGUAAAUGCCUUAGUUAGCGGGUCUGCUACAUUAUCCACAGAGGCAACCUUCUGCACUUUAAUAGUAGAAUCUGCAAUCGUCUCUUACUUGGAACUUUUUCAAACUAUUGACCCCACCAUUGCAAAUAAACAGAUACCCAGACGUAGACUUUCUAUCAUCUAUAUAAGACAUAAAGUACGAAUCUGUAUAGCCAUUAAUUCUGAGUUCUCCUCCUCCAAAAACCAAGAACAUAUCAUUUGUUCUUCUCAAGUAUUUAACGACAUUCUUUAUUGCCACCUAGUGUUCCUCUCCUAGGUUCGACUGAUAUCGACUAGUGAUACUCACAGCUUAUGCUAUAUCAGGUCGAGUACAUAGUAUCACAUACAUUAAGCUCCCUAUUGCUGAUGUAUAAGGGAUUCUGCUCAUGCGACUUCUCUCUUCAGGUGUCUUAGGAGAUAUAAUUUUAAAGAGGUGAAUUCCAUGUCUUAGAAGUACCAUACCCCUUUUGGAAUUCUCCAUGUUGAACAUUUUCAACACUUCAUCUAUAUACAUAGCUUGCAAUAAACCAAGCAACUUCUUAGGUCUAUCUUUAUAGACCUUUAUCCUUAGGAUAUAAGAUACUUCUCCAAGGUCCUUCGUAGAAAAGUCUUUAGAUAACCAUAACUUGACCGAUGUUAGCAUAGGAAUGUCAUUCCUAAUUAGGAGUAUGCCAUCUACGAACAGUACAAGAAAAUUAAGUAAUAACACUCCCACUAAUCUUUUCUAUAUACACACGGCUCCUCUUCAUUUCUGAUGAAUCGAACGAUUCGAUUGCAUCGUUGAAACAAGUGUUCCAACUUCGAGACGCUUGCUUCAUUCCGUAAAUGGAUCGUUGAAGUUUGCACUCCCAUCUUUGGAAGUGAAACCCAAAGGCUGCUCUAUAUAGAUAUCUUCUUUAAGAUAUCCAUUUAGGAAAGCAAUUUUCACUUCCAUUUGCCAUAUCUCAUAAUCAUAGUGUGCAGCAAUAGCAAGCAGAGUUCUGAUAGACUUAAGCAUAGCUACAAGUGAAAAGGUAUCCUGAAAGUCAAUGCCUUCUCGUUGACUAUAACCUUUCGCUACUAGCCUAACUUUAUAGGUCUCUACCUUUCCAUCCGAACCAAUCUUUUUCUUGAAAAUCCAUUUACAUCCAAUGGGUACAAUACCCUUCGCUGGAUCAAUCAAAGUCCAUACUUGAUUGGAGUACAUUGAGUCCAUUUCGAACUUCAUAGCUUCCAACCAUUUAUUAGAGUCGAUGUCUGACAUCGCCUUGCUAUAAGUCUUAGGAUCAUUUAUAUGGUCCUUAUCUCCUAUUAGAAAUAUUUCCUCCAUUUUCUCUAUAAAUAAUCCCAUAUAUCUAUCAGAAGGACGGGAGACCCUACUAGACUUGCAAGGUGGCGGUGUAACCUUUGGUGUCACAGAGUUAUCAGGAAGGGCUCUUGGAAUACUCGAUCCUAAAGAGAUUUUUCUCUCUAGUUUUAUUUUCCUUUCGCUGCCUCCAACCAAAAUAAAUUCAUUUUCAAGGAAAAAGGCAUGAUACUUCACAAUCACAUUAUGGCUUUCUAGGAGAUAAAAAUAGUGUCCAAGUGAUUCUUUGGGAUACCCAAUGAAUCUACCCUUGACUAAUCUGCUUUCCAACUUGUCCGUCUUUAAUUUUUUAAUAUGAGCUCGACAACCCCAAGUCUUAAUGUGAGUAAAACUUGGCUUCCUACCAUGCCACAUCUCAUAUGGUGUAGUCGGAACAGAUUUGGAAGGCACUCUAUUAAGAAUAUAGAUAGCCGUAAGAAGUGCAUAACCCCAAAGCAACAUAGGUAAAUCCGUAAAGCUCAUCAUAGAUAGAAUCAUAUCCAAUAAAGUCCGAUUCCUCCGUUUAGACACCCCAUUCAAUUCUGGUGUUUCAAGAGGAGUCCGUUGAAAGACAAUACCAUUAUCCUUGAGGUAGGUUAGAAAAUCCAUACUAAGGUAUUCCCUCCUCGAUCUGAUUGAAGAGCCUUAAUUGGUUUCUCCAUUUGCUUUUCUACUUCUUGUCUAAACUCUUUAAACUUUUCAAAAGCUUCAUACUUGUGUUUAAUUAAGUACACAUACCCAAACAGUGAAUAAUCAUCAGUAAAGAUAAUAAAGUAGAGAUAGCCACUCCAAGCAGACUGUAACACACUGAACAUUAGCAAAUUGCAAGGUUCGAGUGUUUGAUCAGUGUUUUGAGUUUUUUCAGAUUUUCUGUAGGGUCGUUGACUAUAUUCUGACCCAUGACUCACGUCUCGAGGAGCGAAGAUGAGCACUUAGCACUGGGUACCGGUACCAGGGAUGAGGUAUCGGAACUGCGUCGUGCACCCGAGAGGAGUGCUCUCGAGUUUGAGCUCUGCGAGGCAGGGUACCGAUACUGCAUCGCCCGAGUACCGGUACUGGACCUUGUACCGGUACUGCAUCACGAGGGUAUCGGUACGCAGUGCAUUUUCUAGCUUCACCGAAGCUCGGGUUUGGCAAGCUCGGCUGCGAGGUACCGGUACUCCAGCCCGCGUACCGGUACGCAAUGUUGUGUACAGACUGUAAGUUUUUUGAGGGUUCUUUUUGGAAUUGUAGCAACCCUUUAUAUAACCCCACACCCUCUCAAGGACUUCUUUUGUGCUUCAACCAGAGGUGAAGGGAGGUGAGUUCUCCUCCACCUCUCUCUAGUUUUCCCCCAUUUCUUGUGGAAUUUUGUGGUUUUGAUCUCUCUUUUCCUCUCCCCUUUGCAUGUUGGUGGUUUUCCCACCUUGGAGAAGAUUUGGAGCAAGGCUUGGAGCUUGUUUGAGGAAAGAUUUCUAACCCUAGCUCACUCCUAACUUGGUUUGGGGCUUCAAGAGAGAUUAGUAGCCUUGAUCUUCCCUUUAGAUCUUGAUUUGGGAGAUUUUUGUGUAGGAAACCUAGUUUUGUGAUAUUAGGAUUUUUUUGGGGGGUUUUUGAUUUGUAGCCUUUGGGGCUAAAUUUAUAGGUGUAGAACCUUCUUCUAGGUUGGAAUAAAAGUGCUCUAGCUCUCAUUUGGGAUUUAAGAGGGUUUUCCACCAUUCCAGGUGAGUUUUGCCCCUUUUAUGGGUUGGUUAAAGUUUGGCUUGUGGGGUGUUCGUUCAUUACCCCUAACCCUCUUAGAAUUUUUCUUAGGGAGCUAGGAGACUAGUGGUGUAACGUACCACAUCCCUCGUAAUUUGUGCCGAGUCCCGUCGAAAUGAGCGGGACGCGGAGUUGAGCAAGAUGGUAUGGGCUAUAAGUGACGAGGAGCCUCUAAAAGGUGUUAAGGGACCCGAGAGAGAGAAAUCCCAAAAUCUGGCUAAGUCCCAGAUUUUGUGCUCUCGGGGACCGGUCCCUAAAGGAAAGACCGGUCCCCGUACGCAUAGCCUGCCAGGAAAUCCUGAGGCAUUCGGUCCCUGGUGGUGAGACCGAUCCUCGGGAGACCGGUCCUGGAGAGGCAGACCGGUCCCUCGCCGCGCAGCAGCUGAAGAAGCCAGAAAAUUUGCUAAGUCCUGGAAACCCAUCGUUUGGGAACCGGUCCCUGGUCGGGAAGACCAGUCCCCGAAGGCGAAAAAUGCCCAGUCUGGGCAGAUCAAUGGGAAACAAGUUGAGGGGCUUAAGUGCAAUUGUUACAACACUAUAUAUGGUUCAUCCCCUCUCUCCCACAGCCAUUUCCACCCUUCUCACCCAUUUCCUCUCUUUCUCUCUCUAGAACCUCUCUAGAGCUUGAAGAAGAAGAAGGGGAACUUAGAGAAGAAGGUGGAUUUGGUGCUUUAGCGGUUCUAGGAGCUCUCCAACAAGAAGAAUCUUGGUGGAGCUUGGACUAGAGGUAAGUUUUGUAGGUUUUUCCUCUAGGGUUUGGAUUUUGGCUUAGGGAUUUGGAGCUUUGUGCUCCUUAGAGGCUUUAGAGGCUCUUUUGAGCCAUGAAUGCCAUGGCACCCAUGAGAGCUCAAGGUGCUCUCAUGGUGAACUCUUGGAAGUUGUGUUAGGAGCCCUAGGGUUGGUUCCAAAGGUCUAGAAACCUUACUAGAAUGCUUCUUAGAUGAUCCUAAGCUAUUGUUUGCUUAGAGUUGAGAUCGAUUCAUGGGGGAACCCUAAAUGACAUUGUUAGGGCUUGAAAAUUGGGGAUUUUGCCCUAGGAUUUUUCGGGGACGAAUUGACCCCGUAGAAACCUAAUUGGGAGUGCCCUAAACGCGUGGGACAACUCCGUUUAACAUCACGAGAAUGUUAGAGUAUAGUUCGUGUACAAAAGGGGCCUAAUAUGGCACUAUUUUGGGUUGUAGGGUGCGGAUCAUCGUUCAUCGAGUUCGGGAGAUUGUCGCGUUCGUUUUCUACUACCUCACAAGGUGGGGGGUGCACGCCGGAAUCGUUGGAUUCCCUUCUAUGUCUAUUUCUCUAUUUUUGAACAUAUGUUGUUUAGUCACUCAUGCAUAUUAGGGUUAAAUUACAUGUGAACUUUGGUUGUAUCAUUAUGUUUUCUCUAACGUAUUGGAAAGUGGAAAGAUAUGGAACCAUGAUGGACAUGUAUUGUUGGACCCUAGUGAUUGCAUGAUUGUGAGACUUGGACUUGGCAAUAGUAAAUACUUGUGACAUUGACAAUAGAGAGAUAGAUUGGCAUUGACAAGUAGGUGUUAAACAUAGGUUUAACCAUAGUGACAUUGUGACAAAAAUGUUUAGCAAGUGACAUGAACGAGUGGUAGAGAACCUAGCAUAAAGAUGGCAUUGUAACUAAUGGCUAAGCAUCCUCAAGUUGGAGAUUCGAUCGAUACUCAUGAUACGUCUUGGCUUGAGGGUGGUAGCUCCCCCUCUGUAACAACGUGAAUUCUCGAAAUCUAAGAGUUUCACUUUGUCCAGGAUCGACUAAGGGUCGAAUGGAUAAGCUUUGGAAAAGCCUAGGAUGCACGAAACCCAAGAACUGCAUUGGAAUGGAGUCCGCGAGAGCAAAUAAUGCAAUCUGCAUUUUUGGGCUGAGGUUGCUCUCGGGGACCGGUCUCUAGAGGUGAGAGACCGGUUCCAUCAGCUGAAGGCUGCGGGGUUGCUGAUGCAACCGGUCCCUGGCAGGAGAGGGACCGGUCCCAGCCUGCGACAUCAGUGAGAAGAGCCAAAAUUGGCUAAGUCCCGCGAGAUGAGCUCUCGGGGACCGGUCUCUGGUAGGCGGACCGGUCUCCGGGGGACCGGUCCCUUAGGGAAAGACCGGUUCCCAAACGCGUGCUGUCGAGGGGAGCUCUCGGGGACCGGUCCUUGGUCGGGGAGACCGGUCCCUCCGCGCGUAGAAUGCCCAGUGAGGGCUGUGUAAGAGGUGAAAAGUGGAGGGGCCUUUGGGGAUAUUGUUAUAAAAUGAGAGAGGGUAUUAGAGAGGCUAUUUCCUCUCUCUCUCUCACUCCCUCACUGCCUCUCUCUCUCCCUCUCUCUGAUCGUGCAAGGGAGGAAUAGAAGAAAAGAAAGAAAAGAGAAAAGAGAAGAAAAGAAGGAAAAGAGAAAGGAAAGGAGAAGAAGAAGAGGACCAAGGAGAAGAUCCUCUUCCUCAUCUUCAUCUUCAUCUUCUUCUUCCAUUGGAGCUCUUGGAGAGGUAAGCUUGGUGCUCCCUCUCAUGGUAGACCUUUAGGGAUAGGGUUUUGAUCUCUAAAUUUAGUUUGUUUGGAACCCUAGCAUGCUAUUUUGAUGGAUUAUACCCAAAUCAUAGAUCGAUUUGAUGGAUUUGCUAGUGAUGGCAUUCUAGGGCAUCCAAAGAGGAUUUUUGUAAAUAGAUGAGUUUGAUCUCAUUUGACCCUUCGUAAACUUAAUUGAUAGGUAACGAAACACGUUGGUGAAGUCGGUUCGGCAAUCCGACAAGCCGUUGCAGAGAUAUUGAAGAAACGGAUGCUUGGAACUUCGUUUUCGCCUGGAGGGCCGAGGCUACAUCCCUAAAUCGUGGACUUGGGUCCCGGGCACCGUAGCGGCGAGGUGAAGAUCGUUAGCACUUGAAACGGCCAAGCAGCGCGCUCUUGGGAAGCAACUGUGAGAUCGGGCCCAAACGAGUGCCGAGUGCCGCGGAAGGCCGAUUGCAAGUGUCGACGAGCAAUCGGAGAAGCUAUCUAAGGUGGGUUGUGCUUACCAAAGCGACUAGGUCGCCCUUUAUGUCUUAGCAAUGUAAUCUCAUGUUGAUGCAUAUGCAUGUAGACAAGAUUAAAUGGUGCAUUAAUAAAUAUGCAUAGAGUAAAGGCUAAAUAAAGAAUGCAUGGUAACAAUAAUGCAUAGAUGAAAAUGCUAAGUAGAAAGCACGAUGUAUGGUACAUGCAUAUAAACUAGAUGAUAACUCUAGCGUGAGCCGAGAUGAUUGGACAACUAGGUUGUCAGGUAGAUAGAGUGGCAUCUAACCUAGUGUUAAAGAACAUAGGUUAAAUAAGUGAACCUAGAGUCGAACAAUCUAGGUGUGUGGCAUCGAACCUAGUAUUAGUAAACCUAGGUCGAACUAGUAAACCUAGAAGUGGACAUCUAGGCAAAGAUGACAAGAACCUAGCAAGUAUAUCUAGGUUAAGUGACGUGGACAUAGAACCUAGAGUGUGGGAACCUAGGUUGAUAAGUAUAGUGGUAUAGCCACUAGGAUGAGCUAGGGCGAAAAUAUAGGGUUGGCUAUGGACCCUCGACCUGUGGAAAGUGGAUUCCGGAAUCCCAUGACUUGUGAUGACCCUAGCAGAAGCUGGGGCGUUUGUGCGACGACUUCGCCGCCGAGCUUGGUACCGAGGGAGGAUUGGGGGCGAUCACAUGGAGAUCACUGCCCGGGGUUUGAACCAUUGCCGUGGCGUUUGUGCGACGAUUUCGCCGCCAGGAUUGUUAAGCCAUUUGAGGAUCAGACCGCCAGAGCAGACUGAACCCAUGCUGGGUAAGUACGAUGCGGGUGCCUCCAGGUGACUGAGUCUGACAUGUACCGUUGUUGGGUAUGGUGCGACCCGUUUGCCGCCAGACAGUGUGUCACGUCUCGAGCUCACGCUGGGUAAGUGCAACGCGAUCGCCACCAGAUGGUCAAGUCAUGCGACUUAAGCCGAGCUUAGCGUGUGCGACGACUUCGCCGCUAGGGGGCUGAGACAGAAAGGGCGGUAGGCUGGUGAGCAGCCAGUGCGCAGGCUAUCCACGGAUGAUUGACUCGGAGCCGAGUCGUGUGGUUAGCUUCGUUAGGGUAGAGGAACCCUUAUGAGCUAGAGGUUAAAGGCUUGAGCUAAGGUAAUAGAGACCUUAGAUGCGAGUGGACUAAGUUGAGAUCCUAAGGUAAUAGAAACCUUAGAGUAAAGAUAUGAGCUAAGAGUAGCUAAGUAAAGCGUAGAAUCAAAUGAUCUACUAGAUGUUGCAUAGAGUUGCAUGAUUUUCAUAUCGCAUAUCGUGAGGCAUGGCAUGUAUUUCAAUUGAAUAUAUAUAUAUAUAUAUAUAUAUAUAUAUAUAUAUAUAUAUAUAUAUAUAUAUAUAUAUAUAUAUAUAUAUAUGUUGUAUAUUGUUGAACUAACAUGUUGCUGUGCCUCCUCAGACCUAUCGAUCGAGCUUUUCCCUUGGGUGGCCGUACCCACUGGGAACCAUGGAGUUGGUUCUCACCCCACGUGGUUUUGGGGUGUUUUCAGGUUGUACGUGUGCGGCGCGGUGGCGCGAGGCGAGGGCGUAGCUCAGUAGAUAGCGCCCUACCAUAGAGACCGAGGUAGCAGUACCCUGAGACAGUCUAGCUUAGGGGACUAGAAGACAAUGAAACAAUUUGUAUCAAGUUGUAAUAAAUUGUAAUAACCUAAAUUGUAUUUGGAAGCAAGUGUAAAAGAAAAUGAAAUGUAAGCUUGUAUGUGAAUGCUUGUAAUAGCUAGAAGUUUUAUGUAUUCGAUACUUCCUUUUGCAAUCUGGAUUGAUAUCCAUUCCUAGUUGGAACAUUCGUUGAUUGUUCAGAUUGCGACGCCUAGAACGAACAAGGGAGACUCUGUCCACAUAUAGAGGAAACCCCGGUCCGUUCGGCGGUCUGUCGUCGGCACCGCGACCCGGUCCAAAUUGGCGGUUGGUCGCGAGGCGUGACACCCUCAAGCGGUGAGUUUUCGAAAAUAGUCACCUUGGGAGCGAGGUCCCUGAUGACGGUCCCUAGGGGUGGUUCGAGGCCCCCUGUUAUGACGGGAUUUGGGUUAUGAGUUAUUGGGGUUAACAAAGUUAACCGGCAAGAUUGGGUAAGAGCCAAAGCUUAUUUAAGAUUCGAGCAUGCAUGCAUUUCCAUUAUCGUAUUGAAUUAUAUAUCCGCUGACUUCUUUCUUGCAGGCAUAGUAUUAGAUGCAUUAGUAAUGGUUACUUUCCUUCCUUAAAAUACUUAUGCCUGGAUAGACCUAGUGGGUAAGUCGGUGAGGUCGGAUGCCGAGCCCACUGGGAACUUUGUUUAGUUCUCACACCACUAACCCCACAGGUCCUAGCACGAGCGGGGCGGCGGAGGAUCGAGGCAAGGGUUUAGCGUCGUAGAUAGCGCCACCGAGACUAUUUUGUAUUUUGUAGUCAUUCCCUUUUUGUAUACAUGUAUCAACUUUUUUUGUUGACUAAGUUGUAAAGUUGAAAACAAUGUGUAAUUUGGGUGAAUGGCUAAAUGUAAAGAAUUAUGAAUGGAAGUAUGAAAUGUAAUAGCUUAGAUUACUUUUAUUUGAUGCAAAGGCAAUCAAGUAAUAUGUAUUUUAAAUUUUAUAGUUUAGAGCUUCCGCUUCCGUUGUUGCUUGCCCUCGUGCAAGCCUUGUAUAAUUGCUUAUCUCAUUGUUUGAUUGCCUUAUUAUACAUGUUGGUAGAGCCUUGGGCGGGCAGGGGAGGCUCUGUCCGUUCGGCGUCUGUUGACGUGACCCGAACCCGAACCCGACCAAAUUGGCGGAGAUUGGGGCGUGACAAGUGGACACCUUCGUUCGCGCAAAUGAAAGGGAUACAAGGAGUACUUGGUGGGUUUGACCUCACCGAAAUGGGUGAACUCCCCCUAUGUUAUAUUUUUUUUUGUAAAAUAAAAAAUCAUGCAUAUUCAUGCUAGAUAGAGCAUAUGAAAAUUUUAGAAUGCUUAAAAUGCAUACAUUAUGUAUCAUGAAAUUUUACCUCUAUGUAGUAGAGAGAUAUGUACAUAGUAACCAUGCAAGCGAGUGGCUUUCUUUCAUGUGGCUUGAAAUCAUGUUUCAUUUAGUGAAAAUGAUAAGUAUAACAUGCUCUUGGACUUAGAACUCAUAUAUUGACAUAGUGGAUAUAAUGUCAUAAAGUAACAUUGGACUUGGAACAUAUAUUGACAUAGUAAACCAUAUUGUCAUAAAGUGGCAUUAGACUUCUAAAUGGUUAAACCUUUACAUUGUGAUAUAGAACUAGAGCAUGUUGUUGCUAGUAUUUACACCAUAUUUGAGACAUGAUGACCGGGUACUUGAGAUGAUGAUUAUACUAUGCUCUUGGACUUAGAACUCAUAUAUUGACAUAGUGGAUAUAAUGUCAUAAAGUAACAUUGGACUUGGAACAUAUAUUGACAUAGUAAACCAUAUUGUCAUAAAGUGGCAUUAGACUUCUAAAUGGUUAAACCUUUACAUUGUGAUAUAGAACUAGACCUUUGGGUUGCUAGUAUUUACACCAUAUUUGAGACAUGAUGACCGGGUACUUGAGAUGAUGAUUAUACUUGCUUGUCAUUUGUGCUCAUUCGCACAUGCUUGUGAGGGUCGCUCCCCACAAGCCGGCAUUCCGGAGUUGGCCUAUGCGACAUAUGCUUGCCCGUGCGAUAUUGGGUUCCCUACUAGGUCGCCGUGGAACAGUCACAUUCCUACGGGGAAAUGCUGGACUACCAGGGGCCAUUAGGCGGCACAAGCCGGACUACACUUGUGUAAGUCCUAAAUUGGAUUUGGAAAAUGACAUGUAAGCCAUUAAUGUGACAAUCACUACUGGAUAGUAUAUAGUAGUUGGAUUCCUUGGACAUACUUGGUGCAUAUUGUGACAUGCUUAGUGCAUACUAUUGGACAUAUUGGACAUGCCUAGUGCAUUCUAGUGGACAUGUGUUGGACAUACUCAUUCAUGACAGAGUAGUAAUGUUACUUGUAGAACAUCAUGCUUAAUUGAGGCAUAGUAGCUUAGCAAAUUUUUCAUUCGAUAAAUACAUGUUGUUUAUUCUCCGCACUUACUACUACUUUUGCCUCUAUAGCCUAGUGGUGUAUUUCGCUUAGGUCGGCGGCUUACCCACUGGGAACUAUUGAUUAAUAGUUCUCAUGCCCUCUAUGUUGUUGUUUUUAUUUCAGAGCCACCCGCACCGGGAGAGGCUAGGGACUGCGGCAAAGGGGUUGCGUCUAGCUAGACAGUGAGGAUUAUUGCUUUAGGUGGUCAUCUCUCUUUUGGUUCUAGUUGGAGAGAGAGAUAUUUUUGUACCCUAUGUAUAGAGACCACCAUUUUUAUAUCUAGCUUUAUGUUCAUGGAUCUCAGUUGUAUGGUUAUUUUAUGAUUUAUGCUAGUUGUUUAGCGCUUUUUUAUUCUACUUGUUGUUAGAAUAUAAAUGUCUUUAUGCUCUGAUAACCUACUAGAUGCUUCAUCUUUCUUGUUUUCAUAUACUAUUGUUGUAGACGCCUUAUAUGUUGUGGACAUAUGGCGGGUCUGGACACGCGCCGUGCGGGCUUCCCCUAGGCCCCGGGACGUGACACAGACACAUCAAAUGGUCCAUAUACAUCAGUAUGUAUUUGGGCGAGUACUUCAGUAGCUCUUUCUCCUUGUCCAACAAAGGGAGACUUAGUUACUUUUUCUUGAAGAUAUGAUUCACAAGUUGGAUACGAUUCAGAAGGUAAGGUCCUUAAGAUACCCAUCCUUAGCCAACUUGUUAAUCCUAUCAUCUCCAAUGUGACCAAAUCUAAAAUGUCAUAAGUAUGUUUUAUUUACCUCCUCUCUUGGUCUUUUGAAACCAAUGAUAUUCUCAUUCAUGCCAUUAUCAACUGUAUUAACACAAACAUCCAUAUAUAAGUGAUAGAGAUUGUCUAUUAAAAAACCAUAACCGAUCAGAUUAUUUCUCAAAUAAAUUCAACAAAUGUUUGAUUCAAAAAUAAACUUACAACCGCCCAAUACCAAACGAGAAACAGAAAUAAGAUUUAUAGUCCCACUAGGAAUAUAAAAAUAACCUCUAAGUUCUAAGACAACUCUUGUUGGCCGGCAUAAAGGAUAAGUUCCCACGGUAAUAGCAACAACUUUUGCUCCGCUUUCAACGCAUAGGGUAAGCUCUCCAUCCCUAAGUCUUCUACUUCGUUUUAGCUCCUGCAUUGAAAGAGGUGCAUUUAGAGUCAAUGACCUAUGUGAAAGAAGAACAAACCGAUAAGUUAGUAGUUUCACUGACAUGAAUCUCGCACAUACCUUCAAAAGCCUUGUCCUUCACCUUAUCUUUCAGGCUAGCCAAAUAGUUCGGGCAAUUUCUUUUCCAAUGGCCAUCCUUUUGACAAUGGAAACAAGUUCCUUUGGUAGCCUUCUUUUUAGGAUUUACGUUGACAGGUUCAGUUAUUGGCUUCUUUGCAGGCUUAUUCUUUCUCCAUUUAGACUUUCUUUUGGAGGAAAUUCGUUCAAUAGCCAAAACUAACCCGUUAUUGACUUUUAGCAUUCCUUUAGCUGUGACCAACAUAUUCAACAGCUCGGCGAUAGUGCAAGUAAUUUUAUUCAUUUGAAAAUUUAAAAUGACCUGAGAAAAUGAUCAGGUAACGAUUGUAAGAUCAAAUCAAUUUGGAGUUCUGCAUUUAUAGUCAUUCCGAGCUUCUCAAUCUCCUCAAUGUCUUUAAUCAUUGCCAAGCAAUGAUUAUUGACUGACUAACCAUUAGACAUCUUAGCCCCGAAUAGUUACUUAGACACCUCGAGCUAUUCGACUUUGCUCAUCAUACAACUCCUUAAGAUGAAGAAAAAUAUCAACAGCACUCUCCAUGUGCUUAUGUUGGCGUUGCAACUUAUUGCUCAUAGACGCAAGCAUGUAGCACUUUUUCUUCAUAUCGUCAUCAGUCUAUUUAUUUCUUGCAGCUUUUUGCUGAGCUGUUAGAUUUUCGAGCAUCGCUGAAGCCUCCAUGUCCAACACAUAGGCUAAUUUUUCAGAAUUGAGAACAAUUCUCAAAUUUCUCAGCCAAUCGUUGAAAUUUGGUCCAGUUAAGCGAUUCAUAUCAAGCAUUUUGGCAAGUGGGUACUUAAGCAUAACCCAUUUGAUUAGGAUUUUUAAAUCUAAAUGGUGCCUCCCACUAAUUUGGCGAAUCUCCACACUUUCCGAGUGGAGAAAAUGAAAACUUUACUUAAAAGUUUCUAAUGGGGAUUGUGGUCCUAUCUAUUUACACAUCACCUUAUCCUAACAGAUUCUUGGCAAUGAGUAAACAAAUGAGUGAACAACUCUUGUUCAAUGCUUCUCAAGCAAAUUGCAAUUUAAUCUUUGGCCUCCAUAAGAUAUAGGCCUCAUCCUGAUAGAUUCUUAGUCUUAUCUCGUGGUUAAGUUAGACCCACCGUUCAUCAUGCAAAUAAGAAUGUCAUUGAAUUCUCAUCCUAGCAGAUUCUUGAAUUCAACCCCUUUCUUACCGCACAACAUCUUGUGCUAAUAGAAUGGUUGCGACUCCCUAAUGCAACUGACCCCAGUAUCCGGGUACAUCAAUCAACGCUAAAGAGAUGCCUACACCCUACAAUGGUGGAAGGCUACUAAUGGGUUCAUAACACCAUUAACUUAAUAUUUCAUUUAGGGAUAUUAGUUUAUCUCAUUAGUUUUAAUUUAUUAUUAAUUUACAUCUCAUGCAAACCAUUGCAUCACAUGCAAAUAUACAUCGCAUAUAAAAAUUAACUACCGGUAAUGAUCAUGAAUUUUAUCUUAAUUUCGGCUUGAGCCACUAGGCCGGAAUUAGAUCAUAAGGGUAUUACACAUAAGAAAAACUUUUCUUAUUCUGCGUCUUGAUCGAAUUGGAGUUGAUCAACUCUUGUCUUCUCUCUUGAUCAGCAUCUGGUCCAAAUUUGAUCCGUAUCGCAUCAAUUCUUGAAUGCAAUAAAUCCUUUGGAACCUAAACUACCAUUUUCCCUUAUCUAUUUUGCAUCAAUAACUUUACAACUCAUAAAAUUAAUGAGACAUGCAAGUCUCUAAAUUACAUAAUUUAAUUGGCACACGCAUACACCAAAAAAAAAAAUCUAACACCGAGUCCUUAUUAAAUUACACCAAUUCACAUCAUCACAUGAUAUGUGCAUAUCACAAGGUCGCUAUCCAUGAUCAUCACCUCAUAUACAUCACAUGCAUAUAAUAUUAAAUUCUCUAAUUCAAAUUCUAAUUAAUUGGAUUUCGGAUUAAUUUAAAAUAAAUCUGUAUUUGUUUCAAGAAUCGCAAUUCAUUCUUAAAAUUAUUAAAAUGAUUUAAUACAUCUCUUGUAUUAUUAAAAUUUAAAAAUAAUUUUUAAAUUGCAAUUUUGCACAAUAUAAUCGCACACCUAGCCGUGUCGCUCACAAGCAUCUCACGCAAACUACUUGCCCACGUGACGCGUGCGGACCUAGCAACAAGUGCGUGUAGUCCAUGCACAUUGCGGCAUGCCACAUGCAAUGAAAAGCCUUAAAUUAAUUAAUUAGUGUUGUUAUACAUAUCUUUCAUGGACAUCCUUGUUAAAGAUUAUGCUUUUUUUUUAUUGGUUUGGUCCAUGCACCGGACUUAUGGAAUAAAUGAAAGAAUCUUAUAAGAAUUUUAUUGGUGGAUCCUAAAUUAAGUUGGACUUAAAUUCAAUUUUUCAUGCAUAAGCCUAAUUCAUAUUAAUUAUGAAUUGGAGUAGGAUAAGGAGUUAGAACUAUACCUAUAUAUAUAGGUGCAUGUACGGAUGUAGGUGUGGCCAAAAAAAAUAAUUAAAAAGGCUUAUUAAAUUAAAAGGUGGCCGGUUCUUUUGAGAGAUGUAUGGCUUGGGGGUGCAUAGAGGUGCAUAGGCUAAUUAAUUAAUGUGCACCAUCCUUACAGUCAGAGAAGGUGCCGUGGCCUCACAUGCGACGGAUUGAAGUCGGCAGCGGAGCGGCGGUUCUCGACCAAAUUGCCUGAGCGGUUCGGAUUCUUCGAGGCAACGGCAUAAAGGAUUUUUGGUCAGAAUUUUUUAUACUUCUCUAAUUUGGUCUUCUCGAUUUUACGAAAAGCUUUUUUCGGUAUUUUCUUGAGAGUUUUCGUUGGAACAAGAGAAAGGUGGGAUCAUCAUAAGACUCUUGAUUUUUAUCCGGAGAAGAUAUAAGGUGUAAGCUUGUACUUAUAUUUCUUCGUAUAGUGGAAUACAUCUCUCUCGCUCUCUCCGUGGAUGGAGGCAAUUGCCGAACCACGUAAAUCUUGAUUUUUUCUUUCUGCGUUUAUUUCUUUUACCAUUCGUUCAAUUUUCUCUAUUCUUUCGUGCAUCUUUGUUGGUAGUGCAUGAUGGACGAUUCAUCCGGUUCCCAACAAUCCUAAUUAAAGAAAUCACUAAAUAUUAGAAUGUGCAUGCAUGUCAUCAACAUGACAGAUUCAUGCAGCGGUGCUUGCAUGUCUGCAUCGGUCCGCAUGCCGAUUGCCGCAGCCGCGCGAGUCAACAACAACAUGCGUUGAUUAAAUUAUUUUGCGUGCAACUUAAUUAACGUUUCAAAACAAUAAAAAAAAUUGUUCAAAAACAAUCCUCAUUGUUUUGAUUUCGAUCAUUCCAAAAAACCUAAUUAACAUCGAAAAAGAGAUUAGAUCUAAAACAAACGACGAGGGUGGCUCUGAUACCACUUUAAGAAAAUUAUGUGUGCGCGGCAGAAGAAAAUAACACAAUUAAAAAUACUUCAAAACCAAAAAUCUCCUCGUGUUUCGCUUUAGAUCAUUAAUAAUUGAUCUAAUUGAUCUAAUCAAAUAAGAUCUAGUUUUUCACCUUGCGCGAGUUGAGAUCACCGCGAAGUGGACAAUCGUUGGUAAAAAUUAUCCGUCCUUGCUUAGCCGCGCACACGCCUGACUUAUAUUCACUUCCACAUGAAAUCACGCCCUUGAUCGAAUUAGACGACCGCUUCGAUCCGCGAUCUGCUCACGAAUUAACUCUUGUGUCAAUCUUCUAGAUGUGCUAGCAACCUUUUGAAUAUCAAAACCAAUGGAUUAAUUGUGAAGGACUUAAGGAAGAGAGAGGGGAUUGACGGCUAAGGUUUUUUAUCUCUCUUGUAUUAUUUUAAUUUUAAUAUUCAUAUGACAUAUAUUUAUAAUCAGAAAAUCCUAAACAUAUAUCCUAAUCUUAAUCGAAAUCCUGGUCCGAUUGGAUUAUCCAUUAACCGUCAAGUUGGUUAUAAUAUUAAUCGAAUUCGAAUCCUGAUUCGAUUCGUGUGUAACAUUUACACAUAAGUCCUCAUAUUAUUUACUAACGAUUAGUAAAUACAUCAUGCAUCUUUUACACAUAAAUACCUCUAAUUUACAAUAAUUAUAAAUUAGUCCUUUUACAAAUAAAUUAGUAAACUUUAGUAUUUAACUAUAUUAUAAUUACAAUUAAACCAUCAAAUAAACUUCUUUUAUCGUUUCCUAAAUAUUGAUCAUGCAUGAUUUCUUAUGUGUGUGACCUAAUAUGUUCAAUUCUGUCUGGUAAUGAGAUAUGAUGCGAUCCCUAUCUACAUCAUCAUCGAAACUCCUUUCGAUGGUUCAAACUCUUUUGAUUCCACCCUUAUAGAAUAAUUAAUUAUCUAUAAUUAUUCUAUUGCUUCCCACAAUCCACCAGUGACGCCUAGCAGUAUGUAGUGGCAAUGCAGUCAAAAGUGAAUAUCGGACUGAACCUCUAGGUGCAGUUACCAUACAAUACAAUCUUUCUAUCACAUUGUCACGCCCCGCCCCGAAACCCCUACCAAUUUGGCGCGGUUCGGGCGCGGCGAGCGGACGCCGAACGGACAGCACCUCCCAUGUUCGCCCAAGGCUCAACAACAGGAAUGUGUACGAGAAUUUACCCAGGAAUUCAAAUUCUAAACAUACACAUUCAACGAGGCACAAACAGUGCCAACAACUAAGAGCAAGUAAUCCACAAGUUAUGCAAGUGAAAUAAAGAGAGUACUUUACUAACUAUUACGAUAGUUUGCAUUCUUUUGCAGUUAUAACUUUUCUCAAAAUGAUUACAUUUGAUCAUCCAAAAUACAUAGCUCUCCAACCUCACCUACAUGAAACUCUCAAAUACAUAGAUGUGCUAAUGCAAAAAGGAAAGCAACUAUACUACCACGGUCUCACUGCUCGGGCGCGAUGCCCUUGCUGCGAUCCUCUCUCGGCAACCCUGUACCUACCACUGGAAAUAGAGUAGGGUGAGAACUAUCUUUCAUAGUUCCCAGUGGGCUCGGCCGCCGACUCCGCCGGUCUCCCCACUAGGUCCAAGUGGGCAUAAGUAACAACAAGUAGAUAGAUAGAUAGAUAGAUAUUUGAAAGCUGUAAAUGACAGAAUAGGGAAUCUAUGCUAUUAUGCCCAUAAUCAUGUGUAAUGAAUGCAUGCGUCAUAUAGUAAAAGUAUACUAUCAUGCUAACGAGAUCGAUCCAUGUUCGAUAAAUAAUGUUCAAUGACAACAUUAACUUUACAUUUACCCAAUCUGUGGCGAAACCCUUGGGUUCGCCUUUAACUCACUUUUCCAUCCUAAUUGGGUAGGGGAGCUCCAUGUGCCCCCAAACCCGAGACUGUCUGUGGACCUCCAUGUGGUCCCUAUCGUCCGACACUCCGGAGCACUCGACGACCAAUCCUCUCCAUGUGAGGAUAUGGAUGGCUAUACCACCCCAAAUAACAGACCGUGAGUUUGAUCUAUCCUCUCCACGUGAGGAUACCCUAUCAUCUAAGGCCAACAUCACAAUCAGAACUCAUCUAUGUCCUCUCCAUGUAAGGAUACCCUACGAACUAGGGCCAACAACACUCGGAAGUCAUUUAUUCCGACCAUAAUGCAAUCGCACUUAGCUUUACUAAAUUCAUUGUUCACAAGGCAUUUUCUAAGGGAUUCCACCUAUCCCUAGGUUUAUAAACCUCUAGUGUCAAGUACACUACAUUAAUGCCACUCGUUUAUUCUUUAAACAUUUAGAUGCCACUCUUUAAGUCACUAGAUAGCCAUCAAGCUCACCUCUUUUCUUUAGCACUAUAGGAUCAACUGUCUCGACCCAAUACUUACCUAUCCUAUUCACCUAGCAUUCCAUGCACACUAGGUUACCAUUUAGAAAACAUAAGGAGAAGGUUAAACAUGCAAUCCUACAAUGCAACAUGCAAGAGAUGAAAUUAUAUGUUAUUCUAAGACAUAGAAAAGAGUCCGGCUGCUUCAGGAUGACACUCCCCACCUUUUCUCGUUGUAGAGGUUCUAGAAACGCUCUUCUGCGAACGUUACGACGAAGUCUUGGCCUCCCCUCAGUCCAAAACAAUGCUCAAUCGGCCUUAUUUUGCCGAUAGCUCUUUUCCCGUUCGACGAAUCGAAAUUCCGACUUCCCCCUCGCGUUUAGGCACCUAGCAAUUAGGUUUACAAGGCCUCAAAUGAGAUCAAUCUCAUACUUUACCAAAAACCCCAUUUUGGAUGCCCUAGGUUUGCACCUAUAGCAAACUACCCAAUCAAAACCUUAGAUUCUAGCAUUGAUCUAUUUAGAAGCAUGCGAGAGGUCCAAUUGACCCAUUUCAAAAGCUCAAAGCCCAAAAACCCUAAGUUCCUUAAGCUGGGGUUCAAGAGCUUUCCUCUUGAGCUACUCCAAUGGUGAAGAGAGGAAGAGCAAGAUGCUCCAAGCCUCCUUGAGCUUGAUUUCCUCCUUCUUCUUCUUCUUCUCCUCCUUCUUCUUCUUCUCUUUCUUCUUCUCCUUCUCUUUUGUUCUUUCUUUUCUAGAGAGAGAGAGGGAGCAAGAGAGUGUGAGAGAGAAAGAGAGAGAGAAAUGAGAGGCUGAGGGAGAGAGAAGGGGCCGACAUACCCCUCUAAUGUAACAAAAUCCAAAUAAACCCCUCAACUUUCAUCUUUGUGCACAUCCCUCACUGGGCAUUCUGCGCCCAGAGGGACCGGUCCCUCGUCGGGGAGACCGGUCCCCGAGAGCCCUCCCGGCAGCCUGGGGACCUUUCAUGUACGAGAACCGGUCCCCACCCGAGAGACCGGUCCCUGGGAGACCGGUCCUUCCUGAGAGACCGAUUCCCGAGAGCUAAAUUUCCAGGACUUAGCCAUUUUUGCCCUUCUCUCGCUGGUGUCGCAUACGGGGACCGGUCCUCUCAGCUAGGGACCGGUUGCAUCAACCUCCCCCACAACCAUCAGCUACAGGGACCGGUCUUCCCUUCCAGGGACCGGUCCCUGAGAGCAAAAUCUGCUAAGUCCAGGUUUUUGCAUAUUUGCUCUCGUGGACUCGACUCCAAAGCACUUUUUGUGUUUUGGACAUCUUUAGCUUUUCCGAAAGGUACCUUCUCGACAAAUAGUCUAUUCUAAACGAAGAACAAUCCUCGGAUUUCGAGAAUUCACUUCCUCACACACAUAGUCCCAGCUGAGUGGAGAUCAUAGAAUACUCGUUAAACCCCAUCACCAGUCAUAUGACAAAUUUGAUAGGACAGAAGCUCUUAUGGUUACUCUUAGAAACUUCUUUCCAUACACCAUUUUUCCCCAGCCGAGAAUUUAUGAGCUUUGCUUUACAAAUAGUAUAGAACUAAUUAUCUCUCUACCGAGAGCGAUAGAUCCGCUAUAAACACACACCUAUUCUCGAUAUGAACUGACUGCAGCUAACAUAUACUACUAAAAUCCAUAGCAAGGAUCAGAGUUUGUUGUAUAGUCAAACUACAGUAGCCUCACAUUGAAUGGCCGUGGUGUCGCAAGUCUAAGGAUCAGUUAUACCACUGCAACAUCGAACCAGUUACUAACGAAUGAGUAGACAUCCAUGUAACUGUUCGUAGUUGGUCACACUCAGCACCCUUGUUCUCCAACAACCACCUGCAUGUUCACUCCAGUGUUCCUACACUGAUGACUCGAGAUUCGUCAUCCCAAAAGAGAAGCGGCACGCUUAUCAAUCUUACAGGAUCAAUCAUCGUCCCUAUAAUGAUCCACCGACUGAGAGCAUUUAGGAAUUAAUCACUAAUAAUAUGUAUCUCAAAUUCUCAACUCUUGAGAAUACAUAUUAUCGUUUUAUUAAUUCAAUGAACGAUUUAUGGGCACAUAAAAAUAUGAAUGGAAUAAAAGGGCUCAAAUAUAUAAAGAUUAAGUACAAAAAUAUGUUUCAUAGAAAAUAAAAUGCGUCAGCCUGAUAGGCUUCUAGGGCGUACAACUAACAGUACUUCGAGUUGCAUCUUUUGGGCCAAGAUCGGUGCCGGCAUGGCCACGACUGGGGGGCUAGAACUUGCACGCUUUGGUGCUUACUAUUUUUAUUUUCUGUAUAGUUUGGCGAUGUUGUUGGUGGUGGUAGAAGAGGAGAAUUGCGCAGAAUGGCAGCCACGGAGCUGGCUAGACUAUACACGACGCCCUCCAAACGGCUAAUUGCCGCCAUCACCUGUUUAUACCCACCCUCUUCUUCCUCAUUCCUGGGGCGCCGGCAACGUCGAACAUCAGCUCCGACUCCUACCAGCCGUUGCUCAUCCGGGGAGAGGCUGAGCCUGCGCUAGCACCUAGUGAAGUUAAAGUCAUCCUUCACUUUUGAUGAACCCCCACGAACGUUGAGAACAUCUAAUUGUAUCCCACCCCUAGACACGAAGAAUUAUUGCACGCCGAAAAGAUAGAGGACAUCUAUACCCCGUGUGCUCGUAUAUCCACACCUGAUUGCAGUAAGACAAUAUUACACUAAUUAACACAUUAUUACACUCAAUAAUGUACUAAAUAACACACUUUUUGUCACGCCCCGGGCUCCGCCUAUUUGGUUGGAUCUGAGCACGUCAACAGACGCCGAACGGACACACCUUCCCUGUCUGCCCAAGGCUCCAACAACAAGUAUAAUCAAGCAAAUCAAACAACGAAAUUACAAGUAUACAAGGCUUGCUUGAGGGCAAGCAACAACAAAUAGUGAAAGCUCUAAGCUACUACAUAAAACCACAUACAUAAUAUUUGACUACAUUUUAACCAAAUACAAGUAAACUAAAGUUAUUACAUUCAUUCUCUUUGCAUUCAUGAUUCAUUUACAUCACAUAGUCAUCCAACUCAAAAUACAUGAAUCUAAACAUCUCUUACAUCACUUGUUCAACAAAAUAAAAGUUGAAACAUAAACAAAAGGAAUGACUGUAACUCUGGUGGCUGCUAGCUACGGUGCAAUAUCCUUGCAUCGAUUCUCCGCCGUCCUGCUCGCGCUUGGAUCUGUAGGGUUAGUGGUGUGAGAACUACAACGAAGUUCCCAGUGGGUUCGGCCGCCGACCUCGCCGAUUUGCCCACUAGGUCUAUUCAGGCAUAUGUAUUUCAAGAAAAGAGAGAUAGCAAACCAACUAAUGCUACUACUAAUACAAUGCCUGCAAGAAAGCUGAUCAACAGAUAGAUAAUCAUGUGUAUGAUAAAUAUGCAUGCAUGCUUUUCCAUAUUCACUUUGGCUUUUACCCAAUUAACCCGGUUAACACUUGUUAACCCCAAAACUCACAAUCCAAAAUCCCUCUCAAUUGGGGAACUCGAACCACUCGAGGGACCGUCUUCGGGGACCGCUCUCCCCGUGGUGUCAAUUCUGGAACGCAUCGCUUGAGGGGGAGCUACCUCCCUCAAGCCAAGACUCAAUGUGAGUAUGAUCCAAUUCCCAAUUUGG